AUACUUACCUGGCAGGGGCGAUACCAUGAUCGUGACGGUGGUUUUCCCAGGGCGAGGCUUAUCCAUUGCAAUCCAGACAUGCGGACCCCUGCGGUUUCCCCAAGUGUGGGAAACCUGACUGCAUAAUUUGUGGUAGUGGGGACUGCAUUGAUGCUCUCCCCAG